UAUUGGCUACUGCUCAGCUUUAUAAACAACAAAAAGGUUCUAAACAAUUUGAUUCAUUCACCUCACAAAAAAUCAAUCUUAUUUAUUUUCUUGUUUACCAAACAUGUCCGGAAACAAAUCAUUUCUACCUCUCCUUCUGGCACUUAUGUUCCUCGUGUUUUCGGGUACAAUCAAAUGCAGAGUUGCUACAAUGGAUCUUCAAAGUUCUAUAAUUCCUUCUUCGGAGGAGGGAGCAGAAUGCCAUGCAUCAUUGAAUUGCGUUCAGGAUAUAUGUCAAAGAUAUGGUUGCCAUGGGAAAAAAGCCAAGUGUCUUUCCAGUUUAUGUUGUUGUAAUGUCUAAUUAAUGGGGAAGUAAAAACAUAAUAAAGAUUUCAUUUUUGAGUA